rnacentral:hammerhead_ribozyme from 1 species
AUCCAGCUGACGAGUCCCAAAUAAGACAAAACUAGCGUCCUGGAU